CUCUUGUACAAUUUCAAGUCCACUUUUCGUAAGUAUGGCGCUCCAUCCAUGCUCACCUUCACAAAUGCCACACCACCGCCACUGCUGCUACCCCCAGCAGCCGCCUUUUCUCCAUCUUCAUUGCUGUUUUUCUGUACAGACAUGACAUUCUUUCGGAAUGAUCGAAUUGGUGGCCAACCCACGACUUGUGCCUUGGCUGGAGGCUUUGUCGGAUCAGCAGAGGAAGGAAGAACAUCAGCUUUCUCCUUCAUCUUCUCCUCCCCAAUAUCAUUCCCUGCUGACUCUUUGGUGGAAAGAUUAAGCUUCAAAUCCACUAGAGUCUCUG
rnacentral:misc_RNA from 1 species